AAGUAGAAAUAAAAACAAAUUUCACUAGAAGACUGAAAAAAAGAGAGCACCUAAUAAAAAUAAAUGAAAUACACAUGCUACAAAAUGGUUAGCCCUUAAAAACAUACUAUAUAAAAUAAGUCAGUCACAAAAGACCAGAUAUUGUAUAAUUCCAUUUACAUGUGAUGUCCAGAAUAGACAAAUACAGAGAGACAGAAAGUAGAUUGGUAGUUCCCUAGGGCUCUAGGGUUGAGAUACAGUUUGGGGUGAUGGCUGGGUAUGGGGUUUCUUUUGGAAGUAAUGAAAAUGUUCUAACAUUGUGGUGGUGGAUGCAAAACUAAAUAUACUAAAGCCAUUGGAUUGUACACUGAAAAUAAAUGAAUUGUAUGGUGUAUGAAUUAUAUCUUUAAAAAGCUGUUUUAAGAAACACUACAACUUUUGUCUUGAGCUCUCUCUUCUCUCGUUCUGAGGGAAGUCAGCCUCCUAGUCUUGGGGAUACUCAGGCAACUUGCCUAUGGAAAGGUUUUCAUGGCAGACGACUGAGUUUUCCAGCCAACAGCCAGCAAGCAACUGAAGCUUGCCAAUAACCUUGUAAAUGAUGUUUGCUAAUCUGUUGGUGGAAAGUAGCAUCUUAUUAAAGUUGUAGCAUGCUGUUUUCUAAUUUGAGUGAUAAUUAGGCAUAUUUUAACAUGUUUAAAGGUAUUUGUAUGAGGAAGACAAGAAAUAAAAACACAAACUCCAUGUUCAAUGACAUUAGGAAAUAUCUUUAACCCCAAGGCAUAGUACAUAUGAAGGCUAAAAGUGGAUGGAGAAAUGAAAAAUGACUUAGCAAGGCAGAGAAGUUCAAACCUAGGUACUGCAGAGGAAGAGAACACCAGCAAGAAGCACACUAAUUUGUCUUAUGGAACCUCAGAAAGCCACAGCAGAUGACGUAUAUGUGCAAGGAGGGAAGGGGCUGGAUUAUUUAAAGGUCUAUAUAAGGAUCAGAUAGAACCCAGAUCCUUACUCCUACUCCCACCCCAAAUAGACACUUUCCUCUCUUUCCCCAUACAGGAGACAGAAGGUGUCUUCUCUGGAGAAAUUGAAGUAGAAAGGAUCUGGACUUGGGUAUAUCAGGCUCUAAGGAAUGGCCACUUUGUCUCAAAUGGAGGAAUCAGUCAUCAGGAACCCUUAGGCUUUCCACACUUUAAGUGGCAACCUGGAGGAGGAAAAGAGGACAGCUUCAGCUUUUAAGGGCUCUUGGCUCAAAUUUCUACAAGAAUGGUCUGGGGUUGCCUGCUGCAUAGCAAAUCUGCAGUUUGAGAAGUUGCCACUACAAAUAGUGACCCUGGGCUAUGAUGAUGAGGAGACAUGCUCGAAGAAUUUAUUGCCUUUCUGGUCAUGUGCCUAUUAAGUGGUAGUCAGGAUUGAUGUGAACUCAGGUCUUUUUAGCUCCAAAGCUCUUUCUCCUAUAUUCUGCUGCCUCUCAAUGUGCUCAGAUGCGCUGAUAUCCCCACAAUGGAGACAUGGAGGAUUCCAGAGCACAGAUUUUCCUAGCCUGACCUUGUGGCACUAAUGAAUCAGGAAAUCUCAGCCAUUGCUGUCUUUUGCUCUGCCCAAGAAGAAGAAAGCAGGAGCUGUCCAUCUGAAAACAGACUUUUCAGCAGAUAAAGGGAAGCCAGCAGAAGAACUAGCUGGAAUAACGAGAAGUAAUUACUUUGACCUAGAAUUGGGAGAAACGCAGUGCCUUAAUUUAGUCAUAUUUUCUGAUCAUUUUACUAAUUAGAGGAAAUAAAAAGGGAAAAAAGAAAGAGAAGGUGAAUGAGAAGGAAAGGAUGGUAGAUGUGGAUACCUGAGAAGGAUGAAACCAAUUGCUAAUUAUGGUUCCAAUGAGGCAAAAUCAAAACUGAAAUGUCUUUUUUAUAAUUUUGCUUUAGGUAGGGGAAAAAUUUAUUUUACUAUAUUUCAGUUUCUCUACCUAAUAAAUAUUAGAAAAAACCCUUUGUAAUCCUAAUAACUACACCCCCUCUCCUAGGAAAUUGUUCUUGGAUUGUAUUGCUUCCCAAUAUGUAAUACAUAUGUUAUAAUUAAUGAAAAAAUGAGAGUAAAUUUUAUUCAUUUGGACUCCAGUAAUUUAAAGUUUAUAAUAAAAAUCAGUUAUAUGUUCUGCUGAAAUUUCUCUCAUUGGGAAUUCAGGUUUUAAAAAAGACAAUGAUGUCAUUUAAAAAAUAAAUGGUGAUAUUCAACUCAUUUAAGGGCACUAAUUUCCUGUAAGCAAUUUAACACCUAUUUCAUAUUUGCUACUUCAGUCUGACUUCAGAACAACACGAAACCUUAAAUUUAUUCACCAAAAAAACCCUUAAGCCUGGCUUGGUGGUGCACACCUGAAGACUCAGUUACUGGGGAGGUUGAGGUAGGAG